UACGUAGGGCGCAAGCGUUGUCCGGAAUUAUUGGGCGUAAAGAGCUCGUAGGCGGCCUGUUGCGUCCGCUGUGAAAUCCCGGGGCUCAACCCCGGGCCUGCAGUGGAUACGGGCUGGCUAGAGGCAGGCAGGGGAGAACGGAAUUCCUGGUGUAGCGGUGAAAUGCGUAGAUAUCGGGAGGAACACCUGUGGCGAAAGCGGCGCACUGGACCAUAACUGACGCUGAGGCGCGAAAGCUAGGGGAGCAAACAGG
rnacentral:rRNA from 1 species